GCAAAAGUGAAAAAAACAAAGGUGGAAGUAAAGCUUAAGGAUAGCUCCAGUUACCUUUUUUUUUUCCCCCCUGUGAAUUGGAGAAAAUAAAUUUCACACAAAGUGGAACACCUCCAAGGUUGGUUCUAGUUGUUCUGCAGAGCUGGUAAAUUACUCUAGUGCCCAGUGACUGCCCAGUGCCUAUUUGUGUGCAGGAGGUGGGGUUGGCACGUUGCCAAAUUGCGUCUUGUCUGGGAAGCAAAAUGGUGUGGUGGGUUGUUACAGGCUGUACUAUGUGUUGGCUCUGUGGGCUUGGGCACAGUACCUCUGCAGUCAUGCUGUCUGAACAGGGAGACUAACUUCAUCCUUAAUCAGGUUGUUGGUGCUUGUCACCUAGUCAAUACUCAGUGACUGUUCACAUGCCAAGCCAAGAUGUUCAUAGCGCUGGGAAGUCGGAACGGCUGCUGCCACCUGUUUCAUCUUUGCCCCAGAGGAGCUGUUGGGAUGUAUGGGAGAGAGUGUGGGCUGUGAAGUUGAUACCUGGCUACAGUAAGUGGAAUGUGCUGAGAUUAAAGACUUGAGUAUUAUUUAAAGGUAGAAAGGACAAGGAAACCAUAUGAUUUGGAAUGUCUUUCUGGCCUGGCACGAUACCAUCAAUUUGAUAUCCCAUUUGCCCUUGAGAAAGUAAAAGCUGGCUUUUUGUAGAGGGGCAUGUACUGAACAGCUGCUUGUCUGGUGGGGCCUCACUGGACCAAACCAUUGGCCUGCCAGAGGAGGAGUAAGCCCUCAAGACUGUGUGCUUUUUGAAGCCAUGAAGAGGGAAGGGUUUGUGACCUUGAGGAUUACUACUUGAAACUCAAAUUGGACAGUAGCCUCUGCUUCCUCUUGCUUCUGUGUAUCAUUCAUUUCAAAAGCCUGGAAUGUGCAUCUCUAUCUGAGACAGAUGACCGCAUCUGACUGAGCUCAGUGCCCUUGCUGUGCAUGCUGCUGCUUCUGACGGGGGAGCCUUCCUUGCAUGGGCUCUCAGUGGAGAUGGUGCAUGGUCUCAGGCCAAGGGGCCUCCUUGUGUAACAGCCCUUGAGUGACAUACCUAAUACCAUCUGGUUUUAUGCUAAAGAUCUAUAGAGGGAGAUAGGACUCGAUCAGGACUGUGCUUUCAGGUUUCCUGUUAAUGUUUUAUUUACUUUUGGUACUGGGGAUUCAACCCAGGGACACUUCACCACUGAGUUACCUCCCCAAUCCCAGUCCCCCCCUUUAAAAUUUUUUUUAAUAUUUUUUUGUUUGGGGACAAGAUUUUGCUAAGUUGUUGCAAGUUAGAACUGGGUGAUCCUCCUGCCUCAGCCUCAUGAGUCGUUGGGAUUAUAAGCAUAUGCUACCAUACUGGGCUCUUGUUCUAUUUUAAAUGUUCCUUACAGCAUUUUAAAUGUCUCUGGAUGUGACUAAGGGGUAGAGUGCUUGCCUAGCAUGCACCAGGCCCUGGGUUCUAUCCCCAGCACCGCGAAAUAGAAAAGAAAAAGUCAGCAUAUAUAUAUAUUCUCCUCUUCCCCUCAUGGAGUACAGGGAGGUAACUGUUUUGGUGGGUGACUGGUAGUUCACUGCUCUCAAGAAGGGGACACUUCCCAUUGGAGCUCCAUGUAAUGAAGCCAGAUUGGGAUAAGCCAGCACUCUUCUGUCCUCAAGUGAUUUCUUCCAGCCAUCCCAAUGCUUCCAGGACCGGCACCAUUUCUGUGGGGUAAGUGUUGUGGGCUGGCCAGGAGGCCAGUGGUGUGUGUGAAGCCACUCUGUUCUGGACUAGAUGUGGGCUUUAACAGUCCCUUAGUCUCAGCUCUGAUAGUUUCAGCAGGACAAGGAAAUUUCUUGACAUCACUGAGGAUUUGCUGUCCCUUG
rnacentral:lncRNA from 1 species